GCAUAACGUCGCAAGACCAAAGUGGGGGACCUUCGGGCCUCAUGCCAUCAGAUGUGCCCAGAUGGGAUUAGCUAGUAGGUGGGGUAACGGCUCACCUAGGCGACGAUCCCUAGCUGGUCUGAGAGGAUGACCAGCCACACUGGAACUGAGACACGGUCCAGACUCCUACGGGAGGCAGCAGUGGGGAAUAUUGCACAAUGGGCGCAAGCCUGAUGCAGCCAUGCCGCGUGUGUGAAGAAGGCCUUCGGGUUGUAAAGCACUUUCAGCGGGGAGGAAGGCGAUAAGGUUAAUAACCUUGUCGAUUGACGUUACCCGCAGAAGAAGCACCGGCUAACUCCGUGCCAGCAGCCGCGGUAAUACGGAGGGUGCAAGCGUUAAUCGGAAUUACUGGGCGUAAAGCGCACGCAGGCGGUCUGUCAAGUCGGAUGUGAAAUCCCCGGGCUCAACCUGGGAACUGCAUUCGAAACUGGCAGGCUAGAGUCUUGUAGAGGGGGGUAGAAUUCCAGGUGUAGCGGUGAAAUGCGUAGAGAUCUGGAGGAAUACCGGUGGCGAAGGCGGCCCCCUGGACAAAGACUGACGCUCAGGUGCGAAAGCGUGGGGAGCAAACAGGAUUAGAUACCCUGGUAGUCCACGCCGUAAACGAUGUCGAUUUGGAGGUUGUGCCCUUGAGGCGUGGCUUCCGGAGCUAACGCGUUAAAUCGACCGCCUGGGGAGUACGGCCGCAAGGUUAAAACUCAAAUGAAUUGACGGGGGCCCGCACAAGCGGUGGAGCAUGUGGUUUAAUUCGAUGCAACGCGAAGAACCUUACCUGGUCUUGACAUCCACAGAACUUAGCAGAGAUGCUUUGGUGCCUUCGGGAACUGUGAGACAGGUGCUGCAUGGCUGUCGUCAGCUCGUGUUGUGAAAUGUUGGGUUAAGUCCCGCAACGAGCGCAACCCUUAUCCUUUGUUGCCAGCGGUUAGGCCGGGAACUCAAAGGAGACUGCCAGUGAUAAACUGGAGGAAGGUGGGGAUGACGUCAAGUCAUCAUGGCCCUUACGACCAGGGCUACACACGUGCUACAAUGGCAUAUACAAAGAGAAGCGACCUCGCGAGAGCAAGCGGACCUCAUAAAGUAUGUCGUAGUCCGGAUUGGAGUCUGCAACUCGACUCCAUGAAGUCGGAAUCGCUAGUAAUCGUAGAUCAGAAUGCUACGGUGAAUACGUUCCCGGGCCUUGUACACACCGCCCGUCACACCAUGGGAGUGGGUUGCAAAAGAAGUAGGUAGCUUAACCUUCGGGAGGGCGCUUACCACUUUGUGAUUCAUGACUGGGGUGAAGUCGUAACAAGGUAACCGUAGGGGAACCUGCGGUUGGAUCACCUCCUUACCUUAAAGAA
rnacentral:rRNA from 1 species